rnacentral:misc_RNA from 1 species
GUUCGAGCGUCAUUAUAACCCCUCAAGCUCAGCUUGGUGUUGGGGCCUGCCGCACCCGGCAGCCCUUAAAAUCAGUGGCGGUGCAUCUGGCUCUAAGCGUAGUAAUUCUUCUCGCUAUGGAGUCCCGGUGGAUGCUGGCCAUUAACCCCCAAUUUUCUAUGGUUGACCUCGGAUCAGGUAGGGAUACCCGCUGAACUUAA